AGAUGGAAGAAACACCCCGUCUGCGGAAGUCCGCGGGCGACACUUUGCCGGUGAAUCCCCAUCACCGGUACAGCAGUGCCCUCGCGCACAGCGCCGAAGCCGAAGGCUCCGGCAAUCCUCGCCGAUCGGU
rnacentral:ncRNA from 1 species